rnacentral:rRNA from 1 species
UACGUAGGGUGCGAGCGUUGUCCGGAAUUAUUGGGCGUAAAGAGCUUGUAGGCGGUUUGUCGCGUCUGCUGUGAAAAUCCGGGGCUCAACCCCGGACUUGCAGUGGGUACGGGCAGACUAGAGUGUGGUAGGGGAGACUGGAAUUCCUGGUGUAGCGGUGGAAUGCGCAGAUAUCAGGAGGAACACCGAUGGCGAAGGCAGGUCUCUGGGCCACUACUGACGCUGAGAAGCGAAAGCGUGGGUAGCGAACAGG